ACUGUAUUAGUAUAAAAAGUAUAUGUGACUUCCAAUCAUAAGGUCUCUGUUGAGAUGCAGUA
rnacentral:tRNA from 1 species